rnacentral:rRNA from 1 species
CAAGUCGAGCGGUAACAGGUGUAGCAAUACAUGCUGACGAGCGGCAGACGGGUGAGGAACACGUACGCAACCUCCCUCAAACCGGGGCACAACCUUGAGAAAUCAGGGCUAAUUCCCCAUAACAUUGCGAAAGGGCAUCCGAUUGCAAUUAAAGAUUCAUCAGUUUGAGAUGGGCGUGCGUUCGAUUAGCUAGUUGGUAAGGUAACGGCUUACCAAGGCAACGAUCGAUAGCUGGUGUGAGAGCACGACCAGCCACACGGGCACUGAGAUACGGGCCCGACUCCUACGGGAGGCAGCAGUAAGGAAUAUUGGUCAAUGGGCGAAAGCCUGAACCAGCCAUGCCGCGUGAGGGAUGAAGGUUCUCUGAAUUGUAAACCUCUUUUAUUUGGGAAUAAAUGCCUGAUUUCUAUCGGGUUUGAAGGUACCAGAUGAAUAAGCACCGGCUAACUCCGUGCCAGCAGCCGCGGUAAUACGGAGGGUGCAAGCGUUAUCCGGAUUUACUGGGUUUAAAGGGUGCGUAGGUGGAUUGGGAAGUCAGUGGUGAAAUACUACAGCGCAACUGUGGAACUGCCAUUGAUACUAUCAAUCUCGAAUACAGUGGAGGCGGGCGGAAUGUGUCAUGUAGCGGUGAAAUGCUUAGAUAUGACACAGAACACCAAUUGCGAAGGCAGCUUGCUACACUGUCAUUGACACUGAGGCACGAAAGCGUGGGGAUCAAACAGGAUUAGAUACCCUGGUAGUCCACGCCCUAAACGAUGUUCACUCGAUCUCGGCGAUACACAGUCGGGGUCUAUGCGAAAGCAUUAAGUGAACCACCUGGGGGAGUACGAUCGCAAGAUUGAAACUCAAAGGAAUUGACGGGGGUCCGCACAAGCGGUGGA